UAGUCCACGCCCUAAACGAUGAGGACUGGCUGUCAGUGCUAUAGACGCAUUGGUAGCGAAGCUAACGCGUUAAGUUCUCCGCCUGGGGAGUACGGCCGCAAGGCUGAAACUCAAAGGAAUUGACGGGGGCCCGCACAAGCGGUGGAGCAUGUGGUUUAAUUCGAUGCAACGCGAAGAACCUUACCAUCCCUUGACAUCCUCAGAACGGUCUGUAGUGGACCCGUGCCUUCGGGAACUGAGUGACAGGUGCUGCACGGCUGUCGUCAGCUCGUGUCGUGAGAUGUUGGGUUAAGUCCCGCAACGAGCGCAACCCCUAUCUAUAGUUGCCAGCACGUAAUGGUGGGAACUCUAUAGAGACUGCCGGUGAUAAGCCGGAGGAAGGUGGGGACGACGUCAAGUCAUCAUGGCCCUUACGGGAUGGGCUACACACGUGCUACAAUGGUGUAUACAGAGGGUUGCCAAGCCGCGAGGUGGAGCUAAUCCCAGAAAGUACAUCUU
rnacentral:rRNA from 1 species